AGUUUGAUCAGUGGCUACGAGGACGAACGCUGGCGGUGUGCUUCACACAUGCAAGUCGAACGAGGUAGCAAUACCUAGUGGCGGACGGGUGAGUAGCGCGUGGGAAUCUGCCUUUAGAUGGGGGAUAACGGGUCGAAAGACUCGCUAAUACCGCAUAUGACGAAAGUUGAAAGGAGUAAUCCGUCUAAAGAUGAGCCCGCGUCCGAUUAGCUAGUUGGUAGAGUAAAAGCCUACCAAGGCGACGAUCGGUAGCUGGUCUGAGAGGAUGAUCAGCCACAAUGGGACUGAGACACGGCCCAUACUCCUACGGGAGGCAGCAGUGGGAAUUUUACGCAAUGGGCGAAAGCCUGACGUAGCGACACCGCGUGAGCGAAGAAGCCCCUUGGGGUGUAAAGCUCUGUCAGCUGGAACGAAAAAAUGACGGUACCAGCAGAGGAAGCAUCGGCUAACUACGUG
rnacentral:rRNA from 1 species